rnacentral:rRNA from 1 species
CAUGCAAGUCGAGGGGCAGCAUGGUCUUAGCUUGCUAAGGCCGAUGGCGACCGGCGCACGGGUGAGUAACACGUAUCCAACCUGCCGUCUACUCUUGGACAGCCUUCUGAAAGGAAGAUUAAUACAAGAUGGCAUCAUGAGUCCGCAUGUUCACAUGAUUAAAGGUAUUCCGGUAGACGAUGGGGAUGCGUUCCAUUAGAUAGUAGGCGGGGUAACGGCCCACCUAGUCUUCGAUGGAUAGGGGUUCUGAGAGGAAGGUCCCCCACAUUGGAACUGAGACACGGUCCAAACUCCUACGGGAGGCAGCAGUGAGGAAUAUUGGUCAAUGGGCGAGAGCCUGAACCAGCCAAGUAGCGUGAAGGAUGACUGCCCUAUGGGUUGUAAACUUCUUUUAUAAAGGAAUAAAGUCGGGUAUGNAUACCCGUUUGCAUGUNCUUUAUGAAUAAGGAUCGGCUAACUCCGUGCCAGCAGCCGCGGUAAUACGGAGGAUCCGAGCGUUAUCCGGAUUUAUUGGGUUUAAAGGGAGCGUAGAUGGAUGUUUAAGUCAGUUGUGAAAGUUUGCGGCUCAACCGUAAAAUUGCAGUUGAUACUGGAUAUCUUGAGUGCAGUUGAGGCAGGCGGAAUUCGUGGUGUAGCGGUGAAAUGCUUAGAUAUCACGAAGAACUCCGAUUGCGAAGGCAGCCUGCUAAGCUGCAACUGACAUUGAGGCUCGAAAGUGUGGGUAUCAAACAGGAUUAGAUACCCUGGUAGUCCACACGGUAAACGAUGAAUACUCGCUGUUUGCGAUAUACGGCAAGCGGCCAAGCGAAAGCGUUAAGUAUUCCACCUGGGGAGUACGCCGGCAACGGUGAAACUCAAAGGAAUUGACGGGGGCCCGCACAAGCGGAGGAACAUGUGGUUUAAUUCGAUGAUACGCGAGGAACCUUACCCGGGCUUAAAUUGCAGAUGAAUUACGGUGAAAGCCGUAAGCCCCAAGGCAUCUGUGAAGGUGCUGCAUGGUUGUCGUCAGCUCGUGCCGUGAGGUGUCGGCUUAAGUGCCAUAACGAGCGCAACCCUUGUUGUCAGUUACUAACAGGUUCCGCUGAGGACUCUGACAAGACUGCCAUCGUAAGAUGUGAGGAAGGUGGGGAUGACGUCAAAUCAGCACGGCCCUUACGUCCGGGGCUACACACGUGUUACAAUGGGGGGUACAGAGGGCCGCUACCACGCGAGUGGAUGCCAAUCCCAAAAACCUCUCUCAGUUCGGACUGGAGUCUGCAACCCGACUCCACGAAGCUGGAUUCGCUAGUAAUCGCGCAUCAGCCACGGCGCGGUGAAUACGUUCCCGGGCCUUGUACACACCGCCCGUCAAGCCAUGGGAGCCGGGGGUACCUGAAGUGCGUAACC